GACACCUAUCCGGUGGAUUAGUGGUUAGAGCGUCCGCCUCGGGUGCUGGAGGUCCCUGGUUCGAACCCAGACCGAGUCA